rnacentral:lncRNA from 1 species
GGCUGGGUGCCCCCCAACCCAGAGAGGAGGGGGUGGGGCCAGGGCUCAGGACCCACCGAGACAGCAGACCCCUUCCCCUGGAGCCUGCAGGCAGGAGGGACUGGGAGCAGGGAGGACGUCACUCCAGCCCCCGCAGGUGCCCAGGACUGAGGGACAGAACAAGACCAGCUGGGCUGCUGCAGGCCUCCAGAGCUCAGCUGUCCUCCGCCCACGUUCCCUUACCCACCUUGUCCUGAAGGACAGGGACCAGCAGAGGAGACCUGGCCUGGGGGCCCAGCAGCAUUGCAGCCCUCGCCCCAGGAUGCCCUUACCCUCCUGCAGCUUAAGCCCCAGCAAGAUCUGGCCUUUCCACUCUCCUGGCUCACGGUCACCUGGCAUUAGCAGGUGCGGCUGGAGCUGCCCUGGCUGGUUCCUGAAGUCUCCUGUCUGCGAUGGGCGCUUCCCUGGGGUUCUCCUGCAGAAGCCGUCACUCUAAGUGGCCUCCACGAUUUCAGGCCUGCGUUCUUCCCAGCCUCCUGCGUGGGCUGUGAGAGCCCUCUGGCAGUUGGAGAGGUGGUCAGGGUUUCCUGGACACCCUCUGCCUGCCUGGUCCCGCCAGAGUCUGCACCAGGAUCAGGAGUUUGCUGCCCGCCCCUCCUGGUCUCUGCAGGAGCUACAGCCUCCUGGGCCACGACUGCCCAGAGUCUCGCCUUCCAGGGCUCUUGCACUGCUAUGCUGGGGACCCCUGGGGACCUCCACCUUGCUGGGCUCCAUGGGAGACUGUCCUCAAGUCCACAGACACCCUUUCCUGGUCCCUGCUUCUGAGUCACCUCAAGCGCUCUGUGUGACGUGCUCUGCACCAAGGAGAGUUGAUCCUGGCUGUCCAGCUGUGUGCACUGUGGACGUGAGAGCCUGCCUACCUACCCACAGGCAGAGCGCAGAGAUCCUGGUGAUGCUCCAAGGGACAGACGCCCGUGAUGAGCAGAGGUGGCUGAGAGAAGAUGGUAAUUGGAGAGGACAAGAGCCUUGCCCAGGCCUCGAGCUGGACACAUGGGCCAGAACAGAGACGCAGACCCCCAAGGCUCAGGACACACAGCCAAGUCCGUCCACCAUCGACAUCGGCCCCCCGCACUCGACACUCUGAAUGGCUCGCCAGCGUCUGGAGGGAGAGCCACGGGCCCAGCACCCAAGGGUCCCCCCACAGCGCGAGGACACACUGCACACUACGCACCAUGUCCUCGCAGGAGGAGCACUGCGCACUGGGGCGGGGGGGCUACAGAGUUUUAAGUCAAUAGGCUCCUUUCUAGAAGCCGGGGGCCGAUCGCUGCCUGGGAUUGCUUUGGUCCCGAGGGUGGAGAAGAGUGAUGUGUCAAUAGUGUAUCACAUUAUACUUGUUUCCUAAUGUGUUUAGUAGUAAAUUAUAUAGUGCAAUGGGAAUGAUGUAUUUAUAACUGUCAAUGUCACAAAUCAAUAUGAAUUGCAUACUUACAUAAUCUAGGUCUAUAUUAACAUAACUUACAAAUACAAUUUGUUUCCAAACAUGAAGUUCUGUUUGUAAACACAGAUCCUUCUCAGGUCACGGUGGGAUGGCAUUCCGAUUAACCAGUGUGUUAGGGUUCAGAUGCGAGGUGUCCCCCAGAAGCUCACGUGCGACACAAUGCAAGGAUCAGAGGAGAAAU